UUUUUUUUUUUUUUAAUUUUGUAUAUGAUGCUUCAUAAUGAAUAUUUGACUUGUACUUCUUAGCUAAGCUUUGCUUGUACUUUCACUGAAAUUCACUUUACCUUCAUAACCCAACAGAAACUUUUUAAUAAUAAGUAGAUCCAUCAGACAAAUAAUAUCAUCAAUGAGCUGUUUCUCUAUAUGAAAACAGGUAUGGAAAUACCUUAUAGGCUUUGAACAAAUUCUAUCAAUUUAAUCAACUCACAGUAACUCCUGUUUUUUACGUGACCAAGCACAGACCCUCUUUACCUUGCACUAAAAUGUUUAGUUAAUGAUAUAUGGGACUGUCAAGAUUCGAAAUUUGGAUGGUCAGAGAGGCUCUGAUACCAUAUCAAGAAACCAUUCAACCUAAAGGCUUUAAGCUUAUAGGUGAGAGCCUCAAGAAUAGUUAUAUAUUUCUAACGAUCUCCUAGUAAGUGUACAAACAUUAGUUGAGCAGUCUGGGUUAUUCACACCAAAAUCAUUAAAAAAAACUAGAAACUAAAAAAAAACUUAUAUUUUUAUGCUCAUUCACACUACUUUUGAUAAAUAAAGAACUUUAGUUUUACAAAUUAUGAAUGUAUUUAUCAUAAAUUAAAAUUAAAAAAUUCCAUGUAAAGAGUUGCUAACUUAAAUUUUAUUGCAUUUUGCCCUUGGUUUCAAAGAAUUUAAAAGUACUACCUUUGAAAGAAUUUAGGAAUCAAAAUGAAAUUUGAAAAUGCUUGACAUUGAUCAAGCAUAUGAACCUUUUCUGGAAGGGGGAACCAACGUUUUGCACAGGCCAUAGAAUUUCUAAUACUAGCCUUACCAUCUACUGAAUGGUAUAUAUCCUCUAAGAAUCAAAAUUAACAUAUGCCUAUCUUUUUCAGUAAUUGGCAACUUACAAGGAGCAGAAACAAGGAAUACCUUAUCUUUUAC
rnacentral:misc_RNA from 1 species